UGUUUCAUUCUUCCUCGCCAAGCAAAGCAGAAACUUUCGCAGAACAGACAGAGCAAGAAAGCGCGCGCACUCUCUCCAUCUCUUUCUCUCUCUAAAAACUUCUCUCAAAACCCUGCAAAAUACUCAAGAUUCGCGAAACCAUGGAUUGGGUCCGUGGCGAAGAGAUUGGCCACGGCGGCUUCGCCACCAUCCACCUCGCCACGCCCGCCGAAACCUGCUCCUCCGGCCGCCCUCCGGUGAUGGCCGUCAAGUCCUGCGACGCGGCCCUGUCUUCCUCCCUCAGGCACGAGAGGCGGGUCCUGAGCGAACUCGGCGACUGCCCGCGGAUCGUCCGCUGCUUCGGCCACUCGCUCACUUCUGAGCGCAGUGGCGAGGAACUCUACAACGUCCUCCUCGAGUACGCCGCCGGCGGCAGCCUCGCCGACAGCCUGAAGUCCAGAGGGAAGCCCCUCUCGGAGCCGGAGAUCAGACGCCACGCGAGGUCGAUCCUGGAGGGCCUGGAGUUCGUCCACUCCAAAGGGUUCGUCCACUGCGACGUCAAGCUCCAGAACAUCCUCGUAUUCCCCGGCAGUGGCGAAGAAGUCAAGAUCGCCGAUUUCGGCCUAUCGAAGAGAGCGGGUGAGCGGUUGUUGAAGGGCGGGAAACAGGGCGGAGUCGAGUGGCGGGGGACGCCCAUGUACAUGGCACCGGAGUCCGUGAACCGCAACGAAUAUGAGCCGGCCUCGGACAUCUGGGCGCUCGGUUGCGCGGUGGUGGAGAUGGCGACGGGGAGGCCGGCGUGGGGGUCGCGGGCCGUGUCGAACGCGUACGCCCUUAUGAUCAGAAUCGGGGUCGGAGACGAAAUCCCGGAGAUUCCAGAGGGAUUGUCGGAGCAGGGGAAGGACUUCUUGAUGAAGUGCUUCGCAAAGAACCCGAAGAAGAGGUGGACCGCCUGUAUGCUCUUGAAUCACCCUUCCUUGCCCUCGACCGCGGCAUCAACGACGAGGAGUUUGUAAGAGAUUGCGGAGUCGAAUUCCCAGAUGCCUCUCCGAGGUGCCACUUCGAUUUCCAAUCCUGGGUUUCGAUGCAAUGUUCAAGAUCGAGUUGGGAAUCAGGCUCACCUUCGCCCUCCUCGGAGAUGGAUUCUGAUCCGUCAGUCGUUGGAGAGCUCUCGUCGGAUUCUUCAUCGGUGAUCCAUCGGAUUGGCCAGUUGGCGAGCCCCGAGAGGCCUAAUUGGAUAGAUUCGGAGGGUUGGGUAACCGUUCGAUGAUCGGAAUUCGUGCCAAUUCCGAAAGCAGAGUCAGCUGGGCUUAGAACAGAGCAGAGUUCUUGGAUGAUUAUUUUUGGUUCACUCCGACGGCUCUGGUUCAAGUGAUUCGUUUUCUGUUUCUACGACUGUGAAUAUUGAUUCGGUUACUGCAGACAAGAGAUGUACAGACAGAUUUUUUCGGGAUGCAAUGAAAAGAAAAAUCAGAUCUUUUAUGCGGCUGGAAUUUUAGUUGUGCAAAGUUUGACUGAAUGCUCUGCACUUUUUUAGUGGAU